UCAGUGGUACCCGAACUCGCAAAUUUCGGUACGAACCCGAACUUUGCAGUUCGGCUUGGCUCAACCCUACACAUUACUAAUCAGUCUCAAUAAUUCUCUCUUCUCGUGGCUUUUCUUUCUCUAGUUGCAAAUAAACCUGGGAAGUGUCCAGUAUUUAUGUCACUUCUCCCUUGUAAGACUCCUUACACUGAAAUAAAGUGCAGUGGAGACCACCAUUGUCUCGGGAAUCAGAAGUGCUGUGAUUACAUGUGCCGGUGGCAAUGCAUGACUCCUAAAUGAAGCAAGAUACUGACCAUCGUCCGUGGACCAUGACAAGGAUCUGCAGCCAGCUCAUUGUUUACAGCUUUGAUUAUUCUGCAUGUAAUAAAAAAAUCAUCUCCCCGA